AUUGAACGCUGGCGGCAUGCCUUACACAUGCAAGUCGAACGGCAGCACGGUGGGGAACCCCUGUUGGCGAUUGGCGAACGGGUGAGUAAUAUAUCGAAACGUGUCCUGUAGCUUUGGAUAACCUAUCGAAAGAUGGACUAAUACCGCAUACGACCUACAGGUGAAAGCGGAGGACCGCAAUGCUUCGCACUAUAGGAGCUGCCGAUAUCGGAUUAGCUAGUUGGCGGGGUAACGGCCCACCAAGGCGACGAUCCGUAGCUGGUCUGAGAGGACGAUCAGCCACACUGGAACUGAGACACGGUCCAGACUCCUACGGGAGGCAGCAGUGGGGAAUUUUGGACAAUGGGCGCAAGCCUGAUCCAGCCAUGCCGCGUGAGUGAAGAAGGCCUUCGGGUUGUAAAGCUCUUUCGGCGGGGAAGAAAAGGUUCGUGCUAAUACCACGGACUACUGACGGUACCCGAAGAAGAAGCACCGGCUAACUACGUG
rnacentral:rRNA from 1 species